UCUUCCCUUCUCCCUAAUUCCCUCUCCUCCCCUGAGUUGUACAGUUGGUUUACAACAUAUUGUCUUAUAAGUAUUGCUGUUGCAUUUGCUUAGCCUUUUACCCUUUGUCUUGCCAUUUUGAUGUUGCCCUUUACUUCCCUAGUUAAGACAAACAUGUAUGCAAUACCUAACAGGAGUUUUAAGAUAAA